GAAGGCCGUUCGGGCCAUCGACGCCCUCGUCCUCUGCCUCCGCGGCCCCACCGCCCGCUACAAUUUGCGGGACCAGCUUCCUGAUAUCCCCACCACCGGCACCACCCUUUCGCUGCACUCGACCUAGGCCGCUGCCGCCCACCACGCCCUAGAAUAUUUGCGUCUUAUUCAAGCAAAGCCCAACAAAAACUUUCCACAAACAAUACUUCUACCAAUACGUAAACCACACCAAACUAGG
rnacentral:lncRNA from 1 species